CCAACCCAAGCUCAUAUUGGUUGGCGAAUAUACUCCCAACUCAUCAAACAGAUGCUUCAAUCCGAACCCCCAGUGCACAUCCCAUUCAACACCCGAGUCUCUAUUCUAGACAUGGCGAAGAAGAAGAAAAACAGAAGCGAACUCUGUUCAGCCAUUAGAGCACAAUAAGCAGUUCCUGGAAGCAGCUCCAUACCAUGUAAUGUUCACAUCAAAAUAAGAAAAAGAGUAUGAGAAUAUAUUUGCCAAAUAAUAUAAACAGAUAUGUGGCCUUCAGAAAUAAAAUUCUCAUUUCUAUGCUACGUAAAAGCUGAAACCUCAUGAAACAAUCAAAGUUAUUUUAUUCUUCUAUGUUAACAUAGUUAGUAUUUAUAUACCAAUUACACAUAACAGAAAAACCAACCACUUGUUAAAGAUAUCGAAAAUUAUUUAUGCUCUCUGCUUACUUUAGAAGUGCAGCCGUUUCCUUUGAGGAGGUUAUCUCUGUAAUAAGAGACUGAAGGUCUGUCCCCCUGGUCCCUGACCAGCACCCUCUGUGGUUCAGUGAGCACCUCCAUGACCAACAACUGAAACAUGACGAAAACAUGUAUAAUCACACCUUAAGUUUCACUGAGCCUCCAAUAUUUUCCUAGCAUAUGCAGGGCAGUUUGGCCUUGCGGUAUCUCUAGGAAAUAUAAGUGUCACAUGGAAAAUUAGAAAUUGUGUAAGCAUAACACUCAUACUGGACGCCGUUCCCCGUGGGGCACUUGCACACUCUGCACCCGUACGUCUUCAUUACACUCAGUAGCAUCCAAUCGCCAUCUUAUCUAAUUUAGCAUUUAAGCUAAGCCAGUUAUCGGGAAAAAAUUACUUAUGAGCAGUGUUGAUACAUGGAGUUUCCAGAACUUUUAAAAGCAAAAGUUUGCCAUGGAGUUUCCAGAAAUUAAAGACGCAAAUUAUUUGUAGUGAAUUCAAAUAAUCACCGCUUGCCUCAGGUGCUGAUUCUGAAGCAUGAGUUCCCCUCUGGCCUCUACAGACAUAACCAUGGUCGAUCUUUAGUUAAUCCGUAUUUGUUUCACUGAAAUGGAAAGAACCAAAAUAACUCUAUUUUAGAAACUGCCCUAGCAGCCUUCUUUGCAUCUGUAACCAAUAAAGGAGAUGAAUAAUGAUAGGAAGCUUCCAUUAAGCAUAGUAUACAUUCUCAAAAAGAAAGAUGGUUUGAAACACACAGUCAUCCAAACAUCUGAGUGCAAGUGUGCAACACAUAACUCUUAUGCUUUGGUAUCAUGAUGUGAUAUUUGACAUCUCAUACUUAAAAAAAUGGUUUUGAGCUACAUUGAUGGCACCAUAGGUGGAUCAGAGAGAAGGAAAGAGAAUGCCAAAGUGGGGAUUCAGGGUACUGAAGAAGAGAGGAAAUAAUUAAGAGGUAGGAUAGGUCCAUGCCCAGGAAUUAUAUAUGAAGCUCAAUCGACCAAAUGGAACAGGAAAGAGCGUGCCCAUGUUAUUCUGUUUUGGAUGUUAUAAUAUAAUUCUGUUAAUUUAAUUCUCUAUCUUCCCUUUGAACAUGGUAUGUGUGGCUAAAAGCCUAAAACCAUAGGGUUCAGGUGGUGAAAUAUAGUAUCUUGUUGCUUGUUUUCAUCUUUUAUAUUGUUUUAGUUAUUGGUGUACCAAAGAAUUGCUUUGCUUACUUGGCCUAAUCCAUAGUGGAAGUAUGUGUUGUGACUUCAGCUGUAAUUAGUAAAACCUGCAAACAAAGGAGACAUUUCAGAAGUCCAGGUCUAUCUCACAAAUGAUCACUUCCAUAAGAAAAAGGCAGACAUUUUCAUUACUCACUACAACUAAUAAGGAUGCAGGUCAUUAAUUAAACCUGUGGUACAAUACAUAAUACUCACACAUAGGGGGCAAGAAAAGGUAUAAAGAGGUAGAAGGGCUGAGUGCCUACGUACGAGCCAGUAGAGCAACGGUAAUAGGAAAGAGUACGGAAGCCGGGGCGACAGGACAGGGCGGCAAGCGAAUCUGGUACAAAGCCCAAAGAUGAUAAAACAUGAUCCGUGCUUGAUUUCUUACCUGCAAUAUUUAUGUGAACAACUGUGCGUGCUUGAAAGGAAGAGAUCGACAUUCUCUACAAUAAUUCCACAAUGCUAAUCACCAUAUCAUAUCUCGGCUUGAAUGAGUUUACAGAGCCUUGAACACCUUCGUUUCUGUCUACUGGAGGGCCUUAGACGCAUGCUGUUUUUUUUUAUUUUCAGUACUGCUGCCAUUGUUGGCUGACUGGGUUGGCAUUUGCCAGUUUAAUUUCGCACUCUUAUGUAUGACUACUGUCUCAUUAAUAAAAUGGGACUGGGGGGAAACCCCUAUUUUUCUAAAAAAAAAAACACAAUGCUCCCAUCUGUUGUCCUCACGGAAUUGCUCAUCCAAUAGAAACUGAAGCUCUGCAAGGGACUAGAUCUGCAAAAAAGAUGGACAAAGAGGAUCUCCAAACAUCCUAUCAUACUUGUGAGAUUACUCUUGCAUCACAUAUCCACCUAUACAAGUUUGGCUAGACACGAAAUCUACUGCAAAAGACAUACUUUUGUUCCCAGACCUGCAGCUCAGUUGCACAUUGAAAUUUAUCCCAAAAUGUUUAUUCGGGUUGGCAUACCUGACACGAAAGGCCAGACAAUCAAGAAUCCCACGUUGGCUCUGAAGGGCGCUUCCGUCAUCAAGGAGCCAAAGAGGUCGGUCAUCGGCGCUCUGGGCGGGCUUGUCCUAGGACAUGAGAUGGGCUUCUGGAGGAGCAGGAGCGUCGUGGUCGUGGAGGUCGAUCAGAGGGGCGAGGUCCUCGGGCAUGAGCUCCUGCGGCAUCCGCCCAUCAUGUCGAAGCCCAUGGUUGAGGGCGGCAGAAGGGUGGGCUAGGGCGCCGGCUCAGCCUUCUUUGCCGGUGGUGGGCGGAGAUCCCCGACGGCGGCGGAUCGGUGAGGAGUAGGGAGGCGGCGGCAGAGGGCGGAGGGCGAAGGGCGGCGGCUGGUAAGGCGGCGCUCGGAUGCUGCUGCGAACGGCGGCGCUAGCCCGCGGCGGCAGAGAGCGGAGGGGCGGCGGCUGGUAAGGCGGCGCUCGGAUGCUGCUGCGAAUGGCGGCGCUAGCCCGCGGCGGCAGAGGGCAGAGGGAGGCGGCGGCAGAAGGCGGAGGGCGGCGCGUCGCUUGUUUAGUACCACACCGUUAAUUUAGUGAAAGUUCGACCUGUUUAUAACGCGUAAUAUUUCUCUCCCG
rnacentral:lncRNA from 1 species